rnacentral:snRNA from 1 species
CAAUCACAAUUUCAGAUUGCUCCAU